rnacentral:lncRNA from 1 species
UGAGCAGGGCACUGGCAACCGGGGUGGAGCUGCAAGAGCCUUUGGCCCCAUGGAGGGACUGCUGGCUGCCGGCUUCUUCACUUCAGCUCCUUCUGGAGAUGACCAAGUCUGUGGUGGUGCCUGAAGAUUUAAGCAAGGCCCAGGUCAUGCUGGGUUUCAUGGGGAGAUGAUGGUAUUGCGUUGUUUGUUUUCAUAAUAAGCAAGCAGGAUGUGAAGAGGGGAAAUGAAGUCAUCAAAAGGUUUUUGUUCUUCCCAAAUUGAAGAAUAACAAAAUCCGUGAAAAUUACGAAUUGAUUUAAAAAGUCUAAAAAAACCUGAAGUCACCCCAGGUCUUCAAAACCUUAGAAACACUGAAUUUGGCAGCAAACUAUAAGAAUUUGUUGGCUUAUUUCUUUUCUUUCUCUUUCUCUUUCCUUCCUUCCUUCCUUCUUUCCUUCCUUCCUUCCUUCUUUCCUUCCUUCCUUCCUUCUUUUCUUCCUUUCUUCCUUCGUUUCUUCCCUCCUUGCUUUUUCUUUUCUUUUAUUUUCUUCCUAAAGAUAGAGCUACUCAAAAAAUAACUAGAAAGAGAGAAACCCACUGAUUGGAUUCAAGGUGUGUUUAUGGGUCAAUGUGUGUUUAAGGCUGAUAUUCAAAAAGCAACAUAGUCACUAGAAAAUAGCAAAAGUUCUAUCCUACAGGUUCAUCAGGACAAAGACAAAAAUUCCUUAAAAUUAUCUCAAAAGAGUGAAGAAUAUCAGAAAAUGUUAACAGACUGGAUAAAAAUGUAGAUAUUCAGGAAAGUCUAAAACCAUUCAUAAUAAGCUCAAAAAUUAAAAGAAGAAAUAAACAAUCUCAAUGAACCUAGUAAAGCCACAUCCACAAGCAUAGGCCAAGUCACACAUGACAGAGAAUGACAGAUCUGAUCCCUGUCUACAGCCAGGGAAGUCUGACACCCUCGCCUGGCCCCCUUCUUGAUAGUAACACUGUGGGGGGCAGAGAGGGGUGACUUGGACUAGGAUACGUAAAGUGAAUCCGGAAAAGAGACAACCUGGAUGAUCAAGCAGGAACUGAUUUAAAGGAAUUGAUGUCUGCUGCUAAGAGUAUGAAGCCCUGAGGGCUGAGACCACAUCUGCCUGGUUUUCUGUGGCAGCUGCAGCAUCAACACUGGCUCUUCGAAGAGUAGCAGCUGAUGAACAUUACUCCGGCAAACAAUUUUCUCUGCUAGGAACUGGAUAAAUGCAAAGGAAGGAGGGGAGAGUGUGUCAGACGGGGACCCUGCCCUACUGGAGCACACGCAUCACCACCUGGGUUAGGACGGCCUCACCCGUCCCCUGGACCUUCACCUUAUGUCCCAGAGAGGAGACAUCUGCUAGAGCAAAGAAAAUUCAUUGUCAUAUAAAACAAACAAGAAAACACACACACACAUGUGCACACACACAUACAGAAAGCAAAUAAAACAUUGUUAGAUGAUGUAAA